UAGUUUCGCCGUCGGCAGUCCGUGCUGUC
rnacentral:sRNA from 1 species